GGUUAAGCGACUAAGCGUACACGGUGGAUGCCCUGGCAGUCAGAGGCGAUGAAGGACGUGCUAAUCUGCGAUAAGCGUCGGUAAGGUGAUAUGAACCGUUAUAACCGGCGAUUUCCGAAUGGGGAAACCCAGUGUGAUUCGUCACACUAUCAUUAACUGAAUCCAUAGGUUAAUGAGGCGAACCGGGGGAACUGAAACAUCUAAGUACCCCGAGGAAAAGAAAUCAACCGAGAUUCCCCCAGUAGCGGCGAGCGAACGGGGAGGAGCCCAGAGCCUGAAUCAGUGUGUGUGUUAGUGGAAGCGUCUGGAAAGGCGCGCGAUACAGGGUGACAGCCCCGUACACAAAAAUGCACAUGCUGUGAGCUCGAUGAGUAGGGCGGGACACGUGGUAUCCUGUCUGAAUAUGGGGGGACCAUCCUCCAAGGCUAAAUACUCCUGACUGACCGAUAGUGAACCAGUACCGUGAGGGAAAGGCGAAAAGAACCCCGGCGAGGGGAGUGAAAAAGAACCUGAAACCGUGUACGUACAAGCAGUGGGAGCACGCUUAGGCGUGUGACUGCGUACCUUUUGUAUAAUGGGUCAGCGACUUAUAUUCUGUAGCAAGGUUAACCGAAUAGGGGAGCCGAAGGGAAACCGAGUCUUAACUGGGCGUUAAGUUGCAGGGUAUAGACCCGAAACCCGGUGAUCUAGCCAUGGGCAGGUUGAAGGUUGGGUAACACUAACUGGAGGACCGAACCGACUAAUGUUGAAAAAUUAGCGGAUGACUUGUGGCUGGGGGUGAAAGGCCAAUCAAACCGGGAGAUAGCUGGUUCUCCCCGAAAGCUAUUUAGGUAGCGCCUCGUGAAUUCAUCUCCGGGGGUAGAGCACUGUUUCGGCAAGGGGGUCAUCCCGACUUACCAACCCGAUGCAAACUGCGAAUACCGGAGAAUGUUAUCACGGGAGACACACGGCGGGUGCUAACGUCCGUCGUGAAGAGGGAAACAACCCAGACCGCCAGCUAAGGUCCCAAAGUCAUGGUUAAGUGGGAAACGAUGUGGGAAGGCCCAGACAGCCAGGAUGUUGGCUUAGAAGCAGCCAUCAUUUAAAGAAAGCGUAAUAGCUCACUGGUCGAGUCGGCCUGCGCGGAAGAUGUAACGGGGCUAAACCAUGCACCGAAGCUGCGGCAGCGACACUAUGUGUUGUUGGGUAGGGGAGCGUUCUGUAAGCCUGUGAAGGUGUGCUGUGAGGCAUGCUGGAGGUAUCAGAAGUGCGAAUGCUGACAUAAGUAACGAUAAAGCGGGUGAAAAGCCCGCUCGCCGGAAGACCAAGGGUUCCUGUCCAACGUUAAUCGGGGCAGGGUGAGUCGACCCCUAAGGCGAGGCCGAAAGGCGUAGUCGAUGGGAAACAGGUUAAUAUUCCUGUACUUGGUGUUACUGCGAAGGGGGGACGGAGAAGGCUAUGUUGGCCGGGCGACGGUUGUCCCGGUUUAAGCGUGUAGGCUGGUUUUCCAGGCAAAUCCGGAAAAUCAAGGCUGAGGCGUGAUGACGAGGCACUACGGUGCUGAAGCAACAAAUGCCCUGCUUCCAGGAAAAGCCUCUAAGCAUCAGGUAACAUCAAAUCGUACCCCAAACCGACACAGGUGGUCAGGUAGAGAAUACCAAGGCGCUUGAGAGAACUCGGGUGAAGGAACUAGGCAAAAUGGUGCCGUAACUUCGGGAGAAGGCACGCUGAUAUGUAGGUGAAGUCCCUCGCGGAUGGAGCUGAAAUCAGUCGAAGAUACCAGCUGGCUGCAACUGUUUAUUAAAAACACAGCACUGUGCAAACACGAAAGUGGACGUAUACGGUGUGACGCCUGCCCGGUGCCGGAAGGUUAAUUGAUGGGGUUAGCCGCAAGGCGAAGCUCUUGAUCGAAGCCCCGGUAAACGGCGGCCGUAACUAUAACGGUCCUAAGGUAGCGAAAUUCCUUGUCGGGUAAGUUCCGACCUGCACGAAUGGCGUAAUGAUGGCCAGGCUGUCUCCACCCGAGACUCAGUGAAAUUGAACUCGCUGUGAAGAUGCAGUGUACCCGCGGCAAGACGGAAAGACCCCGUGAACCUUUACUAUAGCUUGACACUGAACAUUGAGCCUUGAUGUGUAGGAUAGGUGGGAGGCUUUGAAGUGUGGACGCCAGUCUGCAUGGAGCCGACCUUGAAAUACCACCCUUUAAUGUUUGAUGUUCUAACGUUGACCCGUAAUCCGGGUUGCGGACAGUGUCUGGUGGGUAGUUUGACUGGGGCGGUCUCCUCCUAAAGAGUAACGGAGGAGCACGAAGGUUGGCUAAUCCUGGUCGGACAUCAGGAGGUUAGUGCAAUGGCAUAAGCCAGCUUGACUGCGAGCGUGACGGCGCGAGCAGGUGCGAAAGCAGGUCAUAGUGAUCCGGUGGUUCUGAAUGGAAGGGCCAUCGCUCAACGGAUAAAAGGUACUCCGGGGAUAACAGGCUGAUACCGCCCAAGAGUUCAUAUCGACGGCGGUGUUUGGCACCUCGAUGUCGGCUCAUCACAUCCUGGGGCUGAAGUAGGUCCCAAGGGUAUGGCUGUUCGCCAUUUAAAGUGGUACGCGAGCUGGGUUUAGAACGUCGUGAGACAGUUCGGUCCCUAUCUGCCGUGGGCGCUGGAGAACUGAGGGGGGCUGCUCCUAGUACGAGAGGACCGGAGUGGACGCAUCACUGGUGUUCGGGUUGUCAUGCCAAUGGCACUGCCCGGUAGCUAAAUGCGGAAGAGAUAAGUGCUGAAAGCAUCUAAGCACGAAACUUGCCCCGAGAUGAGUUCUCCCUGACUCCUUGAGAGUCCUGAAGGAACGUUGAAGACGACGACGUUGAUAGGCCGGGUGUGUAAGCGCAGCGAUGCGUUGAGCUAACCGGUACUAAUGAACCGUGAGGCUUAACCUU
rnacentral:rRNA from 1 species